rnacentral:rRNA from 1 species
GACGAACCGUGCGAACGUUGUUCGGAAUCACUGGGCUUAAAGGGCGCGUAGGCGGGCCGGCCAGUCGGGGGUGAAAUCCUCCAGCUCAACUGGAGAACAGCUUUCGAUACUGCCGGCCUCGAAUGGGGUAGGGGCACGCGGAACGAUGGGUGGAGCGGUGAAAUGCGUUGAUAUCCAUCGGAACUCCGGUGGCGAAGGCGGCGUGCUGGACCUCGAUUGACGCUGAGGCGCGAAAGCCAGGGGAGCGAACGGG